GAAUGCACAGUUUAGGAUGUCUGAGCACGCACGCUUUCUGUGUACGGCAGGUCGUGGAAUGGAAGAAUUUGUGAAACAAGAUGUCAUCGAUCGGUGCCAUGCUUACAAUGUGAAGUUAUAUCAAGGAAAAGUUGCUUUCAGUAGCAAUGCCUCACCAGAACAUCUUAUUGCUGUGAAAUCUGCUGAGAGGUUGAUGGUUCUAGUUACCUUGCAAAGCUCAUCGAUGAUGCAAAACAAAGAAAAAAAGUUUGCAGGGUCUUCUUUGUUGUCGUCUUUGGUAAACACCAUAGUAACAGAUGAUGUCUGUAUGUGGAGACACGCUGUUACUAAAUGGAGAGAAUUUCAAAGACUGUGGGAUGGUUCAAUAGUGGAGCAGGAAAUCACUCAACAUGGGUCUCCAGCAGCAAAACGAAUGAAACCAGAAGGGAUGUAUAGUCCUUCCGCAAUCUCUACUUUUGUGCCUGUUGAUCAGGUGUCGUUUCGAGUAUCGUGUAAAUGUGCUGGAAGGUUGGGAAGGCAACUGUCAUGUCAGGAACUUGCCAAAGCUGUUGGUUAUCGUUUAGGAUUGUUAAUGUCAUGGAAAGUGAACUUGAAGUCACCAGAUGUUGAAGUGUGUGUUCAUGUGAAUGAUGAUCUCAUUAUUGCUGCUAUACCUACUACAAGAGUGCCCUUGUCCAGUCGAUCUUAUCUGAAGACAUUUGGUUUAAGAUGUACUGUUGCAUGGGCUAUUGGUAGGCUUGCAAACAUUAAGCCAGGUGAUGUAGUCAUGGAUCCAAUGUGUGGCAGUGGGAUAUUAUUGAUAGAAUCAGCAAGAGAGUGGAAGGAUGCUGUUUAUGUCGGUUGUGAUUUGAGUGACAGCCAAUUGUUUCGAGCAGUUGACAAUGUCAAGGAAGCAUCACCUCACAAUGUCUUUCUUAUGGAAGCAAAUGCCACACAUUUACCAGUUGUAAAUGACUCUGUUGAUGUUGUUAUUUGUGACUUGCCAUUUGGUCAGCAACAUGGCAUACCAGAAACGAUCAAUAAGCUGUACACAUUGUUUGCCAAGGAAGUGAACAGGGUUCUAAAGAGCGAGGGAACACUUGUGCUUCUGACAUCGACUGCAAACAUUGAGAUCCUCUUGCAAGGCUUUAAUAAAUGUACUUGUAUUAGAGGAGAUGGAUCAUGCUUGGAGUUUUGUGUAACUGAAAAUUAUCCUGUUGUGCUUGGAAUUCUACCUGCUUGCAUAGUUGUGUUAAAACAAGUAAGAAAGACGUCAACAAUGGCAGUGAAUAGACCAGAGGUUGAUGAAUGAUUGACACAAUGAAAUGUUUUUUGUCGUAUAGAAAUUAUUGUUUGUUUCUAAUUAAAGGGAAUAUAAAAAGGCAAUUUUGUUGAUUUGAGCAAGCACCAGCAUGACAUUAAUGAACAUAGCUGAUAAGGAGGAAGACUCCUUGCAGUGAAGUGAACACCAUAAAUGGGUACCAAAAGAAGCUGGUCUUCUUUGAUGCUGCUAUGAGAGCAAACACCCAUUUUUUUAGCUGUUUCUGGUUGCAGUGAUAUGCUACUUCUUCUUCUUCGUUGACUUUGUCCUUUCAGUGCAUGCAGUGUUGCAGAAUGCUUUAAACCAAUAUGUAUAGCUCGUGCUGAUACAACAAACACAACAGAGUUGAAAA